rnacentral:lncRNA from 1 species
UUCAAAGGUUGUCUGUAUUCCUAGUUUGAAUACAGUACCUGAGGAUGAUGAUAUUCCCAGCAUUGCCAUGACUUCAUCUGAGAACACAUGCUCACCUGAACGUAUGGCUAAAGAUGUAAACACAUGUGACAGAUCAUGCGAUGUAGACCUGUCAUCCAUGGCUCCUGCCUUAGUGGACAUACCCUUUGUUUCAUCAUCUGAAACUGUAAAUGGAAAUCACAAUACGAAAACACCUUCAUGCGAUGAUAAGUGCUUAGGUUCACAAGAAAAAAUGGAGCAGCAGGAGACCAAACUUGAUGUCCACUUCUUGUCCAGGAUUCCAACAGGCAGUUCACAGUUGUGCCCGGAAGUGAGAUGCACCAGUACUUCCC